rnacentral:tRNA from 1 species
GGAAAAAUUUCCAUUGGUAGGGUAAAUCAGUUGCUAUUUGAUGUCUUUUUAGAUUUUGAAGUUCGAGUCUUCAUUUUUCCG